UACGAAGGGGGCUAGCGUUGUUCGGAUUUACUGGGCGUAAAGCGCGUGUAGGCGGGUCGUUAAGUUGGAGGUGAAAUCCCGAGGCUCAACCUCGGAACUGCCUUCAAGACUGGCGACCUGGAGCGUGAUAGAGGCGAGUGGAAUUGCGAGUGUAGAGGUGAAAUUCGUAGAUAUUCGCAGGAACACCAGUGGCGAAGGCGACUCGCUGGAUCAUUGCUGACGCUGAGACGCGAAAGCUAGGGGAGCAAACAGG
rnacentral:rRNA from 1 species